UACGUAGGGUGCAAGCGUUGUCCGGAAUUAUUGGGCGUAAAGAGCUCGUAGGCGGUGUGUCGCGUCGGCCGUGAAAACCUGUAGCUUAACUGUGGGCUUGCGGUCGAUACGGGCAUCACUGGAGUUCGGCAGGGGAGACUGGAAUUCCUGGUGUAGCGGUGAAAUGCGCAGAUAUCAGGAGGAACACCGGUGGCGAAGGCGGGUCUCUGGGCCGAUACUGACGCUGAGGAGCGAAAGCGUGGGGAGCGAACAGG
rnacentral:rRNA from 1 species